AUUGAACGCUGGCGGCAGGCCUAACACAUGCCAGUCGAGCGGAGCGGCGGACGGGUGAGUAAUGCCUAGGAAUCUGCCUGGGAGUGGGGGAUAACGUCCGGAAACGGGCGCUAAUACCGCAUACUAUCAGAUGAGCCUAGGUCGGAUUAGCUAGGUGGGGGGGUAAAGGCCUACCAAGGCGACGAUCCGUAACUGGUCUGAGAGGAUGAUCAGGCACACUGUAACUGAGACACGGUCCUGCCUCCUACGGGAGGCAGCAGUGGGGAAUAUUGGACAAUGUGCGAAAGCCUGAUCCAGCCAUGCCGCGUGUGUGAAUAAGGUCUUCGGAUUGUAAAGCACUUUAAGUUGGGAGGCGUUACCAACAGAAUAAGCACCGGCUAACUACGUGCCAGCAGCCGCGGUAAUUC
rnacentral:rRNA from 1 species